UCCCAAGUUAGCAGUUACCAGAAAUAAUGAAAGCUUUCUGUAUGUUUUAAUCCUUUGUAUUUUUGAGAUAUGUGUGAGAGCCCACCCCUAUUCCAAGAGCAUCUGCCACCUGCCAUUGGCCAGGUCCUCCCAUCAAAUUCAAUGGAAGCAGAAAAUGCUUUAGUGUGAAACAAAGGAAAUGUGCAAGCAUUUUUCCUUCUUCUCUUAUCCUACUCCCCCCUUUUCCUUUUUGGUCCCCUUAUAACCUGAACCCCAGCUGAAGGGCUGCAACAACACCAGGAUGGGGAACAGGUCACCAGGAUCAUAGCUCAAUCAAGAUGACAUCACUCCCUGGAACUGGAUUUCAACUCACCAGCCCCCUGGCCUCAUAACAGGAACUCAUGCAGGAGAAAACCAUCGAUACAGCGAUCCAGUCAGAUGGUGGUGGAGGCCGUGGUUGUAUGAACGUACAGAAUAAAGGCAAUGCCACAGAAGACAUAUGCUGCUCGGAUGGGGACUCUAAUAGGUCUCUGGCACCAGGACGGCCAGCAGCGCCUGGAAAUCUGGCCUGAGAAAGGCCUAUAGGAAGAGUCUCAUUAGUAAUUCUGUGUGGGCCAGCUCCUGCAGAACUGGGAUCCCAUGGAACACACUUCGAGAAACCCCGG